AUUUUGAUCAUUCCUGGGUCGAUUUUCGCGGGAAUUUUGGGAAUUUCUGGGAAUUUUGGGGGAAUUUUUGGGAUUUUGGGGUUUUUGGGGUCCCUCUUUUUAAUUUUGGGGUCCCCAACAACUUUUGGGGCUCCUGGGUUGGGAUUUUGGGGUGAUUUUGGGUUGAUUUGGGUGAAUUUAGGGAGCUUUUGGUUGGAUUUUCGUCAUUCCUGGGUUGAUUUUCGUGGGAAUUUCUGGGAAUUUGGGGAAUUUUGGGGGAAUUUUUGGGGAAUUUUGGGGAUUUUGGGGUCCCCAACAACUUUUGGGGGUCCUGGGUUGGGAUUUUGGGGUGAUUUGGGUGAAUUUUGGGGCGAUUUUAGGGAGAUUUUGGUUGGAUUUUGGUCAUUCCUGGGUCGAUUUUCGCGGGAAUUUUGGGGGAAUUUUUGGGAUUUUGGGGUUUUUGGGGUCCCUCAUUCUGAUUUUGGGGUUCCCCUCCCAGCACGGGCUCCUGGCCCAGCAGUUUUGGGGGGUCACCGGACGCCUCCAGGCCGCCCAAGCUCGGUACCGCCAGCGCAGCCUCGACCGGAUCCGGCGCCAGCUCCACAUCGCCGGGAGCCCCCCGCUGUCGGAGGAGGAGCUGGAGCUGAUGCUGGAGUCGGGCCAGAGCGAAAUCUUCGUCAGCAACGUUUUGGGCUCGGCUCGCGCCGCCCGGGCGGCUCUGGACGAGGUCGGGGAGCGGCACCGGGAGCUGCAGAGGCUGGAGCGGGGCCUGAGGGAACUGGGGGAGCUCUUCCAGCUCCUGGGGGGCACCGUGGAGGCCCAGGUGGGACUGGGACAAACUGGGACAAACUGGGACGAACUGGGAGCAAAAAACCCGGAGGUUUUGGGGUGAAAAAUGGAGAUUUUGGGGCCAAAAUGGGGAUUAAAGGGUUAAAAGUGGGGAUUAAAGGGUUAAAAAUGGGGAUUGAAGGGUUAAAAUGGAAAUUAAAGGGUUAAAAUGGGACUGGGAGGGACUGGGAGGGACUGGGAGGGACUGGGAGCAAAAAUCCCGGCGGUUUUGGGGUGAAAAACGGAGAUUUUGGGGCAAAAAAUGGGGAUUUAAGGGUUAAAAUGGGACUGGGAUGGACUGGGAUGGACUGGGAUAAACUGGGACAAACUGGGACAAACUGGGACAAACUGGGAGCAAAAAACCCGGCGGUUUUGGGGUGAAAAAUGGAGAUUUUGUGUUAAAAAAUGGGGAUUAAAGGGUUAAAAAUGGGGAUUUAAGGGUUAAAAGUGGGGAUUUAAGGGUUAAAAUGGGACUGGGAGGAACUGGGAUGGACUGGGAUAAACUGGGAUGGACUGGGAGGGACUGGGAGGGACUGGGAGGGACUGGGAGCAAAAAACCCGGCGGUUUUGGGGUGAAAAAUGGAGAUUUUGGGGUCCAAAAUGGGGAUUAAAGAGUUAAAAAUGGGGAUUUAAGGGUUAAAAGUGGGGAUUAAAGGGUUAAAAUGGAAAUUAAAGGGUUAAAAUGGGACUGGGAUGGACUGGGACAAACUGGGAGGGACUGGGGGGAAAAAACCCGGCGGUUUUGGGGUUAAAAAUGGAGAUUUUGGGGUCAGAAAUGGGGAUUAAAGGGUUAAAAAUGGGGAUUUAAGGGUUAAAAAUGGGACUGGGAUGGACUGGGGUGGACUGGGGCAAACUGGGACAAACUGGGACAAACUGGGAGGAACUGGGAGCAAAAAACCCGGCGGUUUUGGGGUGAAAAAUGGAGAUUUUGGGGUCUAAAUGGGGAUUUAAGGGUUAAAAAUGGGGAUUAAAGGGUUAAAAGGCACUGGGAUGAACUGGGAUGGACUGGGAUGGACUGGGAGCAACUGGGACAAACUGGGACGGACUGGGAGGGACUGGGGGCAAAAAACCCGGAGGUUUUGGGGUGAAAAAUGGAGAUUUUGGGGCAAAAAAUGGGGAUUAAAGGGUUAAAAAUGGGACUGGGAUGGACUGGGACAAACUGGGAGGG
rnacentral:lncRNA from 1 species